CAGGCCUCCAGGAAUGGCUCGGGGAAAGUGGCCAAGAAAAAAGAAUUAGGCUUUUCGACAUCAACAAUUACCUGUAAUAACUGCGGAACGGACAAGACCAGUAGAUGGAGGAAUAAUAAAACUAUGUGUAACGCCUGCUUUUUGUGGCCCAAACAUCACCGUGGGACUUAACUUCUGUUACAAGAAAUAUGUAUCAACUGCACCACCACAACAACAACUAGGUGGUGGGGCCAAAAAUGACAUGCUUGUCAUCAAUGGCAAAUGAACCACAAUGGGGGUGGAGUCAAACUCCCCACUGUAGAAGAGAAGAACACUUUGGAGAAGAGCACUUUAGAACCUCCCACUACCGAACCCGUGGCUAGAACUUCGUCCUUGGAAGAACCUGUGAAUGUCACAUUAAUAACUGAUACAUAUUACGCUAUCCAGUCAUAAAUAAUACUAAAACUUGUUUUUAAAAUAAGCGUAGCUAGAGACAAUUUACAAGUAUUUAUUUACAAACAUCAAAAACAAAAAGUGGAUUUAAACAUUGUUCCACAUAUUACCUGUUGUUGAAUUUUAACUGUAAUGUUGUCACUAUUUUAUUAAUUAGGCUAAUUUUGAAUAAUAAGACGAUAAGAAAAUGUUUAGCAAAGAUAA